GGGUGCGAUCAUACCAGCACUGAUGCACCGGAUCCCAUCAGGACUCUGCUGUUAAGCGUGCUUGGGUGAGAGUUGUACUAGGAUGAGUGACCUCCUGGGAUGUCCUCGUGUUGCACCCC
rnacentral:rRNA from 1 species